UACGAAGGGGGCUAGCGUUGUUCGGAUUUACUGGGCGUAAAGCGCACGUAGGCGGCUCUUUAAGUCAGAGGUGAAAUCCCAAGGCUCAACCUUGGAACUGCCUUUGAUACUGGGGAUCUCGAGUCCGGGAGAGGUGAGUGGAACUGCGAGUGUAGAGGUGAAAUUCGUAGAUAUUCGCAAGAACACCAGUGGCGAAGGCGGCUCACUGGCCCGGUACUGACGCUGAGGUGCGAAAGCGUGGGGAGCAAACAGG
rnacentral:rRNA from 1 species